AGAGUUUGAUCAUGGCUCAGAUUGAACGCUGGCGGCAGGCUUAACACAUGCAAGUCGAGCGGAAACGAUACUAGCUUGCUAGUAGGCGUCGAGCGGCGGACGGGUGAGUAAUACUUAGGAAUCUACCUAGUAGUGGGGGAUAGCACGGGGAAACUCGUAUUAAUACCGCAUACGACCUACGGGAGAAAGGGGGCAACUUGUUGCUCUCGCUAUUAGAUGAGCCUAAGUCGGAUUAGCUAGAUGGUGGGGUAAAGGCCUACCAUGGCGACGAUCUGUAGCUGGUCUGAGAGGAUGAUCAGCCACACCGGGACUGAGACACGGCCCGGACUCCUACGGGAGGCAGCAGUGGGGAAUAUUGGACAAUGGGGGCAACCCUGAUCCAGCCAUGCCGCGUGUGUGAAGAAGGCCUUUUGGUUGUAAAGCACUUUAAGCAGUGAAGAAGACCAUAUGGUUAAUACCCAUAUGCGAUGACAUUAGCUGCAGAAUAAGCACCGGCUAACUCUGUGCCAGCAGCCGCGGUAAUACAGAGGGUGCAAGCGUUAAUCGGAAUUACUGGGCGUAAAGGGAGCGUAGGUGGCUCGAUAAGUCAGAUGUGAAAUCCCCGGGCUCAACCUGGGAACUGCAUCUGAAACUGUCGUGCUAGAGUAUGUGAGAGGAAGGUAGAAUUCCAGGUGUAGCGGUGAAAUGCGUAGAGAUCUGGAGGAAUACCGAUGGCGAAGGCAGCCUUCUGGCAUAAUACUGACACUGAGGCUCGAAAGCGUGGGUAGCAAACAGGAUUAGAUACCCCUGGUAGUCCACGCCGUAAACGAUGUCUACUAGUCGUUGGGUCCCUUGAGGACUUAGUGACGCAGCUAACGCAAUAAGUAGACCGCCUGGGGGAGUACGGGCCGCAAGGUUAAACUCAAAGGAAUUGACGGG
rnacentral:rRNA from 1 species